rnacentral:rRNA from 1 species
GAUGAACGCUGGCGGCGUGCCUAAUACAUGCAAGUCGAGCGAACGGACGAGAAGCUUGCUUCACUGAUGUUAGCGGCGGACGGGUGAGUAACACGUGGAUAACCUACCUAUAAGACUGGGAUAAAUUCGGGAAACCGGAGCUAAUACCGGAUAAUAUUUUGAACCGCAUGGUUCAAAAGUGAAAGACGGUCUUGCUGUCACUUAUAGAUGGAUCCGCGCUGCAUUAGCUAGUUGGUAAGGUAACGGCAUACCAAGGCAACGAUGCAUAGCCGACCUGAGAGGGUGGUCGGCCACACUGGAACUGAGACACGGUCCAGACUCCUACGGGAGGCAGCAGUAGGGAAUCUUCCGCAAUGGGCGAAAGCCUGACGGAACAACGCCGCGUGAGUGAUGAAGGUCUUCGGAUCGUAAAACUCUGUUAUUAGGGAAGAACAUUUGUGUAAGUAACUGUGCACAUCUUGACGGUACCUAAUCAGAAAGCCACGGCUAACUACGUG